UAGACAAUUCAAUUUAUUUAAUCAAAUUCAUACAACUUUGGUUUUAACUGACAUUUUUAAUAUCAGUGCUGUUUCGAUAUACUACUUGUAUAUAUAGAACAUAAAGUAUAUUACUUUUUGCCGUUGAUGUCCGUGUAGGCUGAGAAAGCGCCCCUGUAGGCACUAGCCGACGACACGAGGAGAGCAGCGAGUACAAAUGCGAAGACCUUCAUUUUGUUUGAAUACAAUGAGACUUAGGAAACAGCUAGAGUUUAUAUAGCAAACCAAUGCAGACUAAACCGCACGGACUAAUGGGCGAAUCUAAAUUAUUUAGCGGAAUAAUUGUAUCGGAAUGCAUUAAAAAAUGCAUUUAAAUGCAUUAGAAACACAUUCCAUUCUCGUUUGUUACAAGCAAAUUAUCCAUGCCAUACAUACAUGCCAAAAAGUUUUUCAUGACUCAACAGCUUCUAGGGAAUUCUCGUUUCUUUUCGGUCCUUUUGUUCCUUGGGUAUGUUCUCCAGCAUAUUGUUCCGCAAAUCUUAUUUAUGCACUCCUUUAUAAAAACAUUGUCUAUGUAGGCUAUGUUGUAUUUCAGAAUAGAGAAGUAAAUGAUUUGAGCUAGUUAGUUGUAUAAAUUCCCUUUAAAGAUUUAUUUUUAUUCUCAACAAAAAACAACACAUUAUUCAUUUACAUACAUUACAAUGGGACGAAGUUACCUCAAUAAUUGGACCUACUAAAAUGAAAAUAAUGAUAAGCUGGUCAAGGGGAUACUACAAACACAAACUGCAUGGCUCUAACGGCUAAUGGCACUUGGAGUAGUGAACCCAACCAGGUCGCGGCCCACUCCCUGGUCCUUCUGCUCCUCAGGGUGGUAGCUAACGCCUUAAUCGAUUUUACCUACAAAAACGGUACGUCAAAGUGAAGUCAAAGCCACCAUAAAACAUGGUAAUGCCAUGAGGUUUAUAGAGAAAUAUUUCAAAAGCCAUUGAUGUGUGGUGUCUGUCACAGCUGUCACAAGGAAAAAAAUAUAUAACAAACCCAUUAUUUUUCGACAACGCAAACAAAAAUCAAAAUUAAUAAACACAACACGAAUAAAAAAUUUGCAAUUUAUUUUCUGAACAAUGAACAACAAUGGAUACGAGGGCUCAGCAGGAGGGAGAUGAUUGACAUUGUGAUAAACAGGAAAAAAUAAAACAACAGGAUUUUAAUCGUUGCGUACACAAAACCCCAAUGUCGAUCCUACCUGCUGCCAUUUUUUUUACAAUAAGAGGGCCGCCUCCUCUGAAAAUAUCUUCGCUUCUGUAAUGUGGACCUAACUGAGCAGAAAAUAGCGACAUACUGCGUCGAAUCUAUUUUCUGUUGCCAUAACCCUAAUUACGCAGAUGCAAAAACUAUGGGAGUUGCCUGAUUGUAUCUCUUUGGGAGCAAAUAUUCCCAUUCCCAUACAUAUGUGUCAAACAGGGGAAGCCAACAUCGAUUAACCCAAGCAACACGUACUCUAUUUUUAUUGAAUUGGACGCCAGAGAACAAAGUCACAGGAGGAAGAAGAGAAAAGGGGCAAUGGCACCAGCAGGAAUGCCACAAACUAUUACCAAAGUAAACAGAGCCAAACAAAAACGUCUCUGGAGGAAAACUAUGUGAAAAGAAGAAAGACACACACAGAGAACAGGCAAACAGCGUGUGAGCUGAAAAAGAAAAAAGAAAGAAAAAUGUGCAAAAGAAGAGUUGACAUAAGGUGUAUGCUCCAUCGAAUAAAGCUUUUUC